AUUCAAAGCUUCUGUUGGCCGAGCUGAAAAGAGAUGGAAGGUUUUUGGACGUAUCUGUAGAGAUUACAUACAAGAGAGUGGCAUGGAAAUUAACACCCUAUACAACUUCCUGUCAGCUCCAAUAGACAACAUGGCGGCCAGCGCACGCGCACGGCGGAAAGAAGAAUUGUUGCUCACAAUAGAAGCUGAUAUAGAAAACACAUAUCCGAAAUAGAAUGGACGAGAUUACCGAACAGACGAAAAAUGAAUGAUGUAGCAAGCUUUUGUGCAGUAAUUAGCUCUUGAACAUCUUUAUUUGUAUUAUGUGACUGGUCGACUCUUGAGGAACGUAAAUAUACUAAAAAUGUAUUUAAGGGGCUUGCAGAGUUUCAGGAAAACAAUUUUGAAUAACACAUUAACCCUGAAGUCAAGGAUUCGAAAAUGUCAAUGAUACUAUAAGUAUCAAUAAUAUAAUGUUAUUAGCUACGUAUGUACAUAAUGAGUAUGUAAUUUAGCCAAUGUCAUAUUAUAAAGUCAGUAUCAAAUCACCUAACUGAUGACUUUUUCAUAUAUUUAUUAUAUAUCAUUAUCGUCUCUAAUUUUUAAAUUGUGAUGUAAACUACAAAAGCUAACAAAAAGACAUUUUUUAUUUUUUAUGUCUCCACCAUGAUAAAUAGUCACGAUCACUUUCAGGAAGAAAAUAUCAACUGGACUAAACUUAAUAUUACACUUGUCUGAUGAAAAAGAGCGAUGCUAACUGAGCCAAGAGCCAAGUUGCAGUGCGGGCAGCCGUCCGCAAUGACUGGUUACAUUGUACAGGUCACCACUUGAUUCGUAUACUAAUACUACAAUUUCAUCAAUAUGCCGUCUAUUCUACUGCCAAGAACGGGUCCUGGUAUUGGCCAGAAUGGCUGAACCAUUCAGAAGUUGUAUCACUUUCGGACGAGUUAAUAUAACUAAUCAUAUAAAAAUCUAAUUACCCAGUUCUGUAUGGUCCAAUAUUAAGCAAAUUAUUGUCGUCGAGUUUAUCAUGUAUGACUUCGGUAAUUAGCAUAAUAUUGCGGCAAUAUUUUUAGUUAAUUAAUACUUAUUGAUAAAGUGCCCGUUAGAAGUCCACGAAGCCGCCGAAAAGUGUAGUUAAUAUUCGAGAACAUUUUCUACACGCGAUGAAAUAAAUUCUUUCUGCUAAGACGGUGCACUUACAGUGCUCAACAGCAUUUUCAUCUUUUAGGUGUGUAACUUGCCUGUGCAGUCUUGGGAGAGUAAUGUUAGAGUCAUUAAGCUGUGAAAGAUGAAUAUAAGAUGUCAGAGUCAUUCACAGUAAAACACAUAUUUAGAUGUGUAGAUGAUUCCUUCUCUAUAUACUGUUGAUAUGAGUUUCCACGGAUAGAACUAUUGCAAAUUCCAUACGAGUCCAGAUGUGAGAAUGGACUUUGUACGUUGCCAAUACCGUUGGUGUUGUUACAUUUAUUUCACUAUAACAUACCCUUAUUCAACAUCAACAUUGAGGCAACAAAAUUGAUUGUUAUUUAAGAUAAUGUUGAAUAUAGUGCCUGUCGUUCACAUUCGCAGACGGAGAGGUUUGAGGAAUUAUAUCAAUAUGGAUAAAGAAAUCAUGACUAGCAACCCAUAAUUCAAAUGUAUAUAUCAAGCUUUCAACCUUUACCCUGCUAAAUUUCUAAAAUGAAUGGACUGGUCUAUCAUUCAGUUUGGGCAAUACCAUUUAUAAUUUCAAUGGGGAGUUCACUGAAAAUUUACUGACUGAAUAGCGAACAGUGCAGACUAAGAUCAGUCUACACGGAUGAAGGCAGAGUCACUUGCCGCCAGUAGGCUAAAGGUUAAGAACCAUAAGUAUAGACUAAGCAGCUAUGGAUUCAGCUUGACUUAAUUGGACAGGGACAGUGGCUUUUAGAUAUUUGAGGUAUAAUGUGUGCAUUCAACCAAUUAAGCAUUCUGUUUAGAAAAUAUGCCGAAAGAGUCUAUUGAAACUUUAGAGUUUAGCGGUAUCCCUUAUAAGAUUGCAAUGUCGAAUACACCUUGGUUUAUACUUGCUCAAACAGAUGUAUUUUAUAGGUAGAUAAAAUUAGUUAUGUCAUUGCUGUACAUUUAGGCGAAUGGGUCCCAUUCUGAAUUAUGUUAAUGUAUGUACUAAGGUUAAAGUCAAUCAGGGGAUUCUUUGUAUAACGUGAAACCGUUUAACCAAUCGGGAAACUGCAUCUUCCUUCUUCGAAAUAUUCCCGAGUGAAAAGCACGCUUCUUUCUUCUAAUUUUAUUUUGGCUAAUUCUGGUUUAUCUUGAGUGAAUCGAUUGAUUUUAUGGUAAUCUAAAACACAAUUUAUACUCUGGUUCACAUUUUAAUGAUCUCAGCUACAUUUAAUAAAUUUCGUAUUUCAUGUUAUUUGUUAAGGUAUUGUUCGGCAAAAUAAAUAUUGCCCUCUUUCAGCCAACAUUUAGUUCACUCUUAUAUUUUCCCAUACUUAGUAUUCAGGGUCAGUGCUUCAUUGUGAACAGAUGCACAUAAAUGUAUUUUAUAGGUAGAUAAAAUUAUUGUACCCUCCACCCCCCCCCCCCCCCCCCUCCACGACAACAAAGUUGUAAGGCGGGGGUAUACUGGUUUCAGGUUGUCUGUCUGUCUGUCUGUCCGUCCGUCUGUCCGUAGACACAAUUUUGUGCGCACCAUCUCUCCUGAUCCCCUUGACACAAUUUAAUGAAACUUCACACAAGUGAUCAGUAACAACAGUAGUUGUGCAUGGGGAUUUUAGGUUCUUUCAACAACAAAAUUUGAAGAGUUAUGGGACUUUGUUUCUUGUAAACAUACUAUGUACAUACAGUCUGCAUAUGCAAUCUGGUGCGCACCUAAUCUUCCAAACCCUUGCACACAAUUUAAUGAAAUUUCACACAAGUGAUCAGUACUAACCCUAGUUGUGCAUGGUGCAUGUUACGUUCUUUUAGAUAAAUAUUCUGCAGUUAUGUGACUUUGUUUUUUGUUACUAUACUGUAUACAUACAGUCUAUAUACAUACAGUCCACAUAAUUAUGCAAUCUUGUGUGCGUCAAAUUGCAAUGUACUGUGUCAGUGCAUGCGGGGGCGUACAUUCAUCACCUUUAGUGAUAGCUUUAGUUUAUGUCAUUGUUGUACAUUUGGGUCCCCCUCUGAAUUAUGUUAAUGUAUGUACUACGGUAAAAGCCGAUCAGGCAAUUCUUUUUAUCGCGUGAUACCGUUUAACCAAUCGGGAAAUGACAUCUUCCUUCUUCAAAAAAUUUCCAGAGUGAAAAGCACGCUUCUUUCUUCUAAGUUUUCUGGUUUUAUCUUGAGUGAGUCGAUUGGAUUUUAUGGUAAUCUAAUACCCAAUUUACACUUGGUUCACAUUUUAACGAUCUCAGCUACAUUUAAUAAAGCGUACUUCAUGUGAAAAUAUAUAUUUGUUAAGGUAUUGUUCGGCAAAAUAAAUAUUGUUUCUUUUUUCAGUCAA